UACAGAGGGUGCAAGCGUUGUUCGGAAUUAUUGGGCGUAAAGCGCGCGCAGGCGGUCUCUUAAGUCUGAUGUGAAAUCCCGUGGCUUAACCACGGGCGGUCAUUGGAAACUGGGGGGACUUGAGUGCAGAAGAGAAGAGCGGAAUUCCACGUGUAGCGGUGAAAUGCGUAGAGAUGUGGAGGAACACCAGUGGCGAAGGCGGCUCUUUGGUCUGUAACUGACGCUGAGGCGCGAAAGCGUGGGGAGCGAACAGG
rnacentral:rRNA from 1 species